GCCGGCCUACGGGACGCAGCAGUGGGGAAUAUUGCACAAUGGGCGCGAGCCUGAUGCAGCGACGCCGCGUGCGGGAUGGAGGCCUUCGGGUUGUAAACCGCUUUUGUUCAGGGGCAGGGCACGGUCUUUUGCCGUGUUGAGUGGAUUGUUCGAAUAAGCACCGGCUAACUACGUGCCAGCAGCCGCGGUAAUACGUAGGGUGCAAGCGUUAUCCGGAUUUUUUGGGCGUAAACGGCUCGU
rnacentral:rRNA from 1 species